CCCCAUGAGAUCUCCCGCCUAUCCGCGGGCCGUUCUCCGCUUCCAACCUCCGAAAUCCCUGCUCAUCCAAUCCCUCGCUUCCGCUGGUCGCCCGAAGGACGGAAUCCGAUUGCUGGUUCUCUGCCGAUCGGUUCACCCGGAUUGCUUCAUCGCCGUUCUCGAACACUGCGCCGCCACGGAGACCCUAAUCACCGCGCGGCGGCUCCACGCCCGAAUGAUCGUCGCCACGUGCUCUGAUCAGGAUUCCUUCACCUGCAACCAUCUUAUCGAUGUAUAUGGUUAAUGCUUCUUAUUGGACGAGGCGCAUAGGGUUUGUAGGAGGUCGGGGAAGAAGAAGCUUCAUCUCUGGAACAUCCUAGUUACGGAAUACUGCGAGUCUGGAUUUUUAAACGAGGGGAGACCUUUGUUCGAUGAAAUGCCUAGGCGGUAUGCAUUUUCGUGGGGUACUAUGAUCAUUGGGGUAUGACGAAUUGUCAAGUGGACAAUCCUGCUCUUUAGAGUGGAUCUUACAUGAACUUCCUAAGCUCUUAGGAUAUGAAAAUUUUACUCAGAAGAGGCUAAAAGAGAGGAGCAGUUUAGUUGGAUAUUGUCUAAAAAAUAUCCAAUCUUUGAUAGAGAAGAAGCAGCUCAAGGAGGGAACUAAUUUUAUAGAAAAUGUUGGUGUUUCUCUGGAACUUGAAAUUGUUGUAAGCAGAAGGAAGAUAUCCAUAAUGACUUUUAUCAGAAACCAAGUUUGGAAACAAAGCCAGGCUGGGUAAUUUACUUGAGAAUAACCAGACUGACGAGCCAGAGUCCAGGAACAAGAAAAAUAAGGUAUUGAUUUGGCAUGGAAGUUCUGAUUAGUAUCUGCAAAUUUGGUUGAAGAAGAAAGGGAUCACUUGUCUCCAUUCUUCCCAGGUUCCAGCUUCUACCUGUACUCUUUCUGACCUUUUUGCCUGCAAAAGAUCAAAACAUGGCUUUCAGGCCGAAGGAAUGCUCUUUGCUCAUCGUUAGGGCUCAUAAUGUGCCUGGGCUGCCCAUCAAACAAAUAUAUAUGCCAGCCAGGCAAGGGACUAUUAUGGGCUUCCUUUGGAUAAUGGGCCUUAACCCCUAAGACUGGUUUGUGCUACCCUCAGUCAGACACAGAAGAAAUUCUAUGGUAUAUGCAUCUCAGGUGGUCCCGAGUAAAAUCCGGGUACAAUUCCUCGUAUUUCAUGGAAGGUCAAGUGCACAUGGGCAGGAACUGCAUCAUCUGUGAACUCCCCCAAAUUGAUCUGGCAAACUAUCCAUGUAGCAAUGUUAUUGCCAUCUAAGAAUGCUGGUUCUCGAUACGCCAAGUAAUAAGGACUUCUUCACCGAGUGGUUGCGGUGUCCUUUUCAUCUCAGCUACCACUUUUGGCUUGAUAAUUCAUGGUAAUUCUUCUGCUCUCUCAGUUGGCAUGAUAUUGAAAAUAUUGGUGAAUCUAUUCUGCUUUGGUUCCUGAUUUCACUCUAAUCCUUAUCAGAAUGAUAUUUGAAACAAUAAGAAACCUAUUGUCUUAAGUAAACUCUUGCCGUCGGAGGUAACAAUCAUGUUAGGCAUUUACAUCUUUAAUCUUAAUUUCUUCCAAGGUUUUGCUUGUGUCCUUGUACCUGUGAGAAAAAUGAACUGAGUCGGUUAAACAUAGACCAUUGCUGACAUUUCUGUACCAUUGGCAUAAUGGAUAUAAAAUCCAUAGCAGAUACUUGUAAUCUUCUUCUUCUGAUUAAUUGAGCAGAUAUGGGCUCAUAUUUCUUGCCA